rnacentral:rRNA from 1 species
AUACGUAGGUGACAAGCGUUAUCCGGAUUUACUGGGCGUAAAGGGCGUGUAGGCGGUCUUGCAAGUCAGAAGUGAAAUUCCUGAGCUCAACUCGGGCGCUGCUUCUGAAACUGCAGGACUUGAGUGCUGGAGGGGAUAGCGGAAUUCCUAGUGGAGCGGUAAAAUGCGCAGAUAUUAGGAAGAACACCGGUGGCGAAGGCGGCUAUCUGGACAGUAACUGACGCUGAGGCGCGAAAGUGUGGGGAGCAAACAGGAUUAGAUACCCUGGUAGUCCACACUGUAAACGAUGAAUGCUAGGUGUAGGAGGUAUCGACCCCUUCUGUGCCGCAGUAAACACAGUAAGCAUUCCGCCUGGGGAGUACGGUCGCAAGAUUAAAACUCAAAGGAAUUGACGGGG